rnacentral:tRNA from 1 species
AGGGGUAUAAUGUAACGGUAGCAUUCCGGUCUCCAAAACCGUCCGUGAGGGUUCAAAUCCUUCUACCCCUG